rnacentral:rRNA from 1 species
CCCUUAGAUGUUCUGGGCCGCACGCGCGCUACACUGUUCGACGCAGCGAGUCUUAACCUUGACCGAAAGGUUUGGGUAAUCUUCAGCAAAGUCGAACGUGAUGGGGAUCGAUCAUUGCAAUUAUUGAUCGUGAACGAGGAAUUCCUAGUAAGUGCAAGUCAUCAGCUUGCGCUGAUUACGUCCCUGCCCUUUGUACACACCGCCCGUCGCUACAACCGAUUGAAUGGUUUAGUGAGAUCUCUGGAUUGACGCUGGCUAGGGGGCGACCCUUGGCCAGACUGUUGAGAAACUGCUCAAACUUGAUCAUUUAGAGGAAGUAAAAGUCGUAACA